UAAGAUGUUAGUUUGAUUCUGACUAAUUAUAUUAAUUAUAAUUAGUAUAUACAUGUAAAUUUUUGUUUAAUUGAUAUUAUUUAUUUGCAGUAUUUUAUAUUAAGUAUUAAGUUAAUUUAGACUUGGACAUAUUUUUUAAUAUUGUAUAUGGUUGUGCCAGCAUACGCGGUUAUACAAUAAAUAUAAAUUAAUAUUUUUGGUUAUUGAAGUUUAUUUUUUUUUAAGUUUAAUUUAUUUAUUUUUUGGUGAAAUAUCAAAUUCUUAUUAAUCUUUUUUAGAUUCUUUUAAAUGUAUUAUUUAAACUAGGAUUAGAUACCCUAUUAUUUUACAUGUAAAUUUUAAUUAGGGUAGUAUUAGUUAUGUUCUUUAAAACCUAAAGGAUUUGGCGGUAUCUUAGUCUAUUUAGAGGAAUUUGUCCCUUAAUCGAUAGUCCCCGUUUAUUCUUUCUUAAUUUUGUUUAUCAAUUUGUAUAUCUCCGUUAUAAGUUUAUUUUAUAAGAAUUUAAUUUACUAUAAUUUUAAUUGAAAUUUAUUUCAGGUCAAGGUGCAGUUAAUAAUUAAGAGGUGGUGAAUUACAAUUUUAUUAUAAAUUAUGGAUUUAGUUUUGAAAUUAUUCUAAUGAAAGUGGAUUUAUUAGUAAUUUUAUUUAUAUUGAUUUUUUGAUUUAGCUCUAAGAUAAGUACAUAUCGCCCGUCACUCUCAUAUAUUGAGAUAAGUCGUAACAUAGUAGAGGUACUGGAAGGUGUUUCUAGAAUGUAU
rnacentral:ncRNA from 1 species